UACGUAGGGGGCAAGCGUUGUCCGGAAUCAUUGGGCGUAAAGAGCGCGUAGGCGGCCUGGUGCGUCCGCUGUGAAAUCCCAGGGCUCAACCCUGGGCGUGCAGUGGAUACGGGCAGGCUGGAGGCAGGCAGGGGAGAACGGAAUUCCCGGUGUAGCGGUGAAAUGCGCAGAUAUCGGGAGGAACACCGGUGGCGAAGGCGGUUCUCUGGGCCUGUACUGACGCUGAGGAGCGAAAGCGUGGGGAGCGAACAGG
rnacentral:rRNA from 1 species